GGUCAUAUCGACGCGUUGACUAGAUAACUAAGGGCAAUGCAGAUAUAUAAAAGUGCUGUAUUGCCUGGUGUUAUGUAACUGUACCUGUGACAUCAUCAUUGCACCCUCCGACAUGAUAUCUCUUCCAAAUGCUUGAUGAAAAAGGUGGGAGGAUCACUUGAGCCAGGGAGUUGAAGGCUGGAGUGAGCCCUGUUUUGCCACCACACUCCAGCUUGG
rnacentral:sRNA from 1 species